UAUAUCGAAGAGCGUAAAAUAUAUUUGUUAAUAUCAGGAAUAUUAAAUUUAAAGCAAUUUAAACAAAUUUUGCCCAAUUGAUAAAUGUAUGAUUAUGCAAAAACGCAUUUUUUUUAAGAUAUUUUGUUAAAAAAAAUACCUGUACAUUAUUUACUCAUUUUUAUCUAUGUAUAUUCUGAGGAAACCUCAUCUGAUUUGUGAGGAAAAUAAAAACAGACCAAGCAAUAUUAAGAAAUGAACGCCCAAGAAAAUUGAGAUUUCGGAGUGUGAAAGAAAAACUUAAGAGCAGCUGCAGCACUACAGUAUAUUAAUAUACAGUAUGCAGUAUAUAUAAUAACACAAGUAUAUUUUUAUUCGCACAUGUAUUAAAUACAUUCAUACAUAUUUACAAAUAAAAUUUUGUACGAAUUACUUAAA